AUCAGGACUGUGCUAUUGCUGUCUCUUGCAUAUGCCUCCUGAGGCCUGGGGUGGCAUAGCACACCGGCAGAAGAUGCUGUGUUUCGUGCCAGGGAUGCCUUGAGCCUGCAACCCAACAUCAGUGAUUGGAUGAAUUUGGGCAAAUUGCAUUAAGCCAGUUCUUUAGAUGGGACGCAGAAUAUAGGAAAUGACGUGUGCACCAGCGGAUGAUCCAAACUAUGAGCAGCCCAGUGGUAUUGGUUUAUUGAGAG